UGGGGAAUAUUGCACAAUGGGGGAAACCCUGAUGCAGCGACGCCGCGUGGAGGAAGAAGGUCUUCGGAUUGUAAACUCCUGUUGUUGAGGAAGAUAAUGACGGUACUCGACAAGGAAGUGACGGCUAACUACGUGCCAGCAGCCGCGGUAAAACGUAGGUCACAAGCGUUGUCCGGAAUUACUGGGUGUAAAGGGAGCGCAGGCGGGAAGACAAGUUGGAAGUGAAAUCUAUGGGCUCAACCCAUAAACUGCUUUCAAAACUGUUUUUCUUGAGUAGUGCAGAGGUAGGCGGAAUUCCCGGUGUAGCGGUGGAAUGCGUAGAUAUCGGGAGGAACACCAGUGGCGAAGGCGGCCUACUGGGCACCAACUGACGCUGAGGCUCGAAAGUGUGGGUAGCAAACAGGAUUAGAUACCCUGGUAGUCCACACCGUAAACGAUGAUUACUAGGUGUUGGAGGAUUGACCCCUUCAGUGCCGCAGUUAACACAAUAAGUAAUCCACCUGGGGAGUACGACCGCAAGGUUGAAACUCAAAGGAAUUGACGGGGGCCCGCACAAGCAGUGGAGUAUGUGGUUUAAUUCGACGCAACGCGAAGAACCUUACCAAGUCUUGACAUCCCUUGACGAACAUAGAAAUAUGUUUUCUCUUCGGAGCAAGGAGACAGGUGGUGCAUGGUUGUCGUCAGCUCGUGUCGUGAGAUGUUGGGUUAAGUCCCGCAACGAGCGCAACCCUUACUGUCAGUUACUACGCAAGAGGACUCUGGCAGGACUGCCGUUGACAAAACGGAGGAAGGUGGGGAUGACGUCAAAUCAUCAUGCCCUUUAUGACUUGGGCUACACACGUACUACAAUGGCGUUAAACAAAGAGAAGCAAGACCGCGAGGUGGAGCAAAACUCAGAAACAACGUCCCAGUUCGGACUGCAGGCUGCAACUCGCCUGCACGAAGUCGGAAUUGCUAGUAAUCGUGGAUCAGCAUGCCACGGUGAAUACGUUCCC
rnacentral:rRNA from 1 species